rnacentral:lncRNA from 1 species
GGUUAGCUGGUAUCAUUCUGUUUUCUUUGGAAUGGUAGCUAGAUAUGUAUGAUUGAACUUUUAAGCUAGCUUUUUCUCUGAUAUCUUUGUAGGGUUUGAUAGGAUACCUGGAUUUUGGUAUGACCACCGUUGUUGAGUAAACUAUAUAUGAUAUGUGUCUGUUGAAUAAGUUUACGUACGUAUUUUCUACAAGUGUAUGAAUGGUUACUGCAGAAUAUAUUAGCAAAUCCGAUCGAUAUAGUCUGAUGAGUACUGAAAUAAAUAAACAAGCACAACAUUUUCAAUAAAUCGGUGAUAAGUGAUUUUGUAUUCUUUUGAAUUUAUGAACAACCUUUGUAUGGUUUUCUUUGGGGUGAUUGCUAUUUUUCCAUAUUGCGAAUGGAUUGUCUAAUUAACCAACCAACGUACCAACAUGACACGGAUCGGCUGCCUUAGGUGGUUCAACUCUUCACUCCUAGUGUCUUCAUCUCGAUUGGUACCAUAGACAACUGACAACUCCUUUUUACUAUUAUUUCCAUAUUAUAUGAUUCGUCUGGUUCUAUAUAUGUUAAGAGGUAUGUAAAUAACUAGCUGGGUUAUUCUCAAAUCUUAAUACG